rnacentral:rRNA from 1 species
GUGACCUGCGGAGGAUCAUUACUAGAGCAAAGGAUAGACAGCGCCCGCGGAGCUCGCUCCCGGGGCUACCCUACUCCCGUAGGGUUUAGAGUCGUCGGGCCUCUCGGAGAAGCUCGGUCCUGAACUCCACCCUUGAAUAAACUACCUUUGUUGCUUUGGCGGGCCGCCUCGUGCCAGCGGCUUCGGCUGUUGAGUGCCCGCCAGAGGACCCCAACUCUUGUUUUUAGUGAUGUCUGAGUACUAUAUAAUAGUUAAAACUUUCAACAACGGAUCUCUUGGUUCUGGCAUCGAUGAAGAACGCAGCGAAAUGCGAUAAGUAAUGUGAAUUGCAGAAUUCAGUGAAUCAUCGAAUCUUUGAACGCACAUUGCGCCCUCUGGUAUUCCGGGGGGCAUGCCUGUUCGAGCGUCAUUAUAACCACUCAAGCUCUCGCUUGGUAUUGGGGUUCGCGGUUUCGCGGCCCCUAAAAUCAGUGGCGGUGCCUGUCGGCUCUACGCGUAGUAAUACUCCUCGCGAUUGAGUCCGGUAGGUCUACUUGCCAGCAACCCCUAAUUUUUUUUAAGGUUGACCUCGGAUCAGGUAGGGAUACCCGCUGAACUUAAGCAUAUCAAUAAGCGGAGGAAAAGAAACCAACAGGGAUUACCUCAGUAACGGCGAGUGAAGCGGUAACAGCUCAAAUUUGAAAGCUGGCUCUUUUAGGGUCCGCGUUGUAAUUUGUAGAA